GAUGAACGCUGGCGGCGUGCCUAAUACAUGCAAGUCGAGCGAACAGACGAGGAGCUUGCUCCUCUGACGUUAGCGGCGGACGGGUGAGUAACACGUGGAUAACCUACCUAUAAGACUGGGAUAACUUCGGGAAACCGGAGCUAAUACCGGAUAAUAUAUUGAACCGCAUGGUUCAAUAGUGAAGGACGGUUUUGCUGUCACUUAUAGAUGGAUCCGCGCCGCAUUAGCUAAUUGGUAAGGUAACGGCUUACCAAGGCAACGAUGCGUAGCCGACCUGAGAGGGUGAUCGGCCACACUGGAACUGAGACACGGUCCAGACUCCUACGGGAGGCAGCAGUAGGGAAUCUUCCGCAAAGGGCGAAAGCCUGACGGAGCAACGCCGCGUGAGUGAUGAAGGUCUUCGGAUCGUAAAACUCUGUUAUUAGGGAAGAACAAAUGUGUAAGUAACUAUGCACGUCUUGACGGUACCUAAUCAGAAAGCCACGGCUAACUACGUG
rnacentral:rRNA from 1 species